GACGAACGCUGGCGGCGUGCUUAACACAUGCAAGUCGAACGGAAAGGCCCUGCUUUUGUGGGGUGCUCGAGUGGCGAACGGGUGAGUAACACGUGAGUAACCUGCCCUUGACUUUGGGAUAACUUCAGGAAACUGGGGCUAAUACCGGAUAGGAGCUCCUGCUGCAUGGUGGGGGUUGGAAAGUUUCGGCGGUUGGGGAUGGACUCGCGGCUUAUCAGCUUGUUGGUGGGGUAGUGGCUUACCAAGGCUUUGACGGGUAGCCGGCCUGGGAGGGUGACCGGCGACAUUGGGACUGAGGUACGGCCCAGACUCCUACGGGAGGCAGCAGUGGGGAAUAUUGCGCAAUGGGCGGAAGCCUGAUGCAGCAGCGCCGCGUGCGGGAUGACGGCCUUCGGGUUGUAAACCGCUUUCGCCUGUGACGAAGCGUGAGUGACGGUAAUGGGUAAAGAAGCACCGGCUAACUACGUG
rnacentral:rRNA from 1 species